rnacentral:lncRNA from 1 species
CGCGGCGGCGCGGGCACUCCCGUGAGCCCUGAAUCUCCAUGGCUGCCUGCUCCAGCUCCACGACGGCCGCCUCGGAUCCCGCGCGCCCGCCCGUGAGUUGGUCCGGGAAGCAAUGCAAGCCGCCGCGAUUAACGACGACUAGCUAAUUAAUCUCAAGUAAAUUAAGCUAAGACAGCCGAAAAUAAAUGAAUUAAGAGCAAGUAUUAUAGCAGGCUGUAAGCCAGCUAAAUGCUGAUGUGGAGGAGAGAGAAGAGGAAAGAGAGUAAAAGCGGACUGCAAGCUUACACCCGGCCCAGACACAAAAACCAAAAAAAAUCUGUGACACAGACAAGUAGGCCAUGUAUUAAUAGUGAUG